rnacentral:rRNA from 1 species
AGCGAACGCUGGCGGCAGGCCUAACACAUGCAAGUCGAACGAACCUUUCGGGGUUAGUGGCGGCCGGGUGAGUCACACGUCGGAACGUUCCUUUAGGUUCGGCAUAACUCAGGGAAACUUGUGCUAAUACCGAAUGUGCCCUUCUGGGGAAAGAUUUAUCGCCUUUAGAGCGGCCCGCGUCUGAUUAGCUAGUUGUUUGAGGUAAUGGCUCACCAAGGCGACGAUCAGUAGCUGGUCUGAGAGGAUGAUCAGCCACAUUGGGACUGAGACACGGCCCAAAAUCCUACGGGAAGCAGCAGUGGGGAAUCUUGCGAAAUGGGCGAAAGCAUGACGCAGCCAUGCCGCGUGAAUGAUGAAGGUCUUAGGAUUGUAAAAUUCUUUCACCGGGGACGAUAAUGACGGUACCCGGAGAAGAAGCCCCGGCUAACUUCGUG